rnacentral:rRNA from 1 species
UACGUAGGGUGCAAGCGUUAAUCGGAAUUACUGGGCGUAAAGCGUGCGCAGGCGUCUUGCAAGACAGAUGUGAAAUCCCCGGGCUCAACCUGGGAACUGCAUUUGUGACUGCAUGGCUGGAGUGCGGCAGAGGGGGAUGGAAUUCCGCGUGUAGCAGUGAAAUGCGUAGAUAUGCGGAGGAACACCGAUGGCGAAGGCAAUCCCCUGGGCCUGCACUGACGCUCAUGCACGAAAGCGUGGGGAGCAAACAGG